GGGGAAGCGAGGCUGUUUCUGGGAGAGGCGGUACUUGUUCGCGGCGGAGCUACUGCAUUCGUUGAGGCUCCACAGGUGCGGCCGUGAACAGCUAUUUACAUAUAUUUAUUAUCUAGAAGAUAUGUUAUGUAGUAAUUAAUAUUAUACAAUUAAGUUGAUUUGGAUAUAGUAUUUCUUAUAGUAUUGGUUAAAUGCGUGCCAGCUGCCGCGGUUAGACGUGAAAUACAAGUGAAUAUUGUUGAUUGGGAGUAAAUUGUUAUUUUUCAUAAUGUUGUGAUUGUUUUUGGUGAAAUGAAUAAAUUUAAUUUAUUUGAUUAGUAAUUUAAUGAGUCUUCGAAAUUAAUAAAUUUAAACUAGGAUUAGAUACCCUAUUAUAAGUUAUGUAAAUAAUUAGGUCAGGGUAGUAGUAGUUAUGGUCUUGAAACCCAAAGAAUUUGGCGGUGUUUUAGUCCUUUCAGAGGAAUCUGUUCUGUAAUUGAUAAUACACGAUUUAUGUAACUUGGUUUUGUUAUCAGUUUAUAUACCGCCGUCAGUAAGAUUAUCUUGUUGAGAGUAUAAAAUUUCAUUAUAUUUAAUAUGUAUGUUAUGUCAGGUCAAGGUGUAGCUAAUAAUCAAGUGGAAAUGGAUUACAAUAAAAUUAUUUAUAUGGAUAGUAUGUUGAAUAAUUUAUUUGAAGGUGGAUUUGAUUGUAAAUUAAUAUAAAUUGAUUAGUUGAUUAGGGCUCUAGAAUGUGUACAUAUCGCCCGUCGCUCUCGUUUUAAGAUGAGAUAAGUCGUAACAUAGUAGAUGUACCGGAAGGUGUAUCUGGGAUGA
rnacentral:rRNA from 1 species